rnacentral:tRNA from 1 species
UUCACGCUCUGGGCCGGCGAAGCCUCGCGCCACCAGGGCGUGCUGGAAAGCCAGGCGUUCUACGCGAUGGGCGUGAAGCC